AUUGAACGCUGGCGGCAUGCCUUACACAUGCAAGUCGAACGGCAGCAUGGGUGCUUGCACCUGAUGGCGAGUGGCGAACGGGUGAGUAAUGCAUCGGAACGUACCCGGAAGUGGGGGAUAACGUAGCGAAAGUUACGCUAAUACCGCAUAUUCUGUGAGCAGGAAAGUGGGGGAUCGCAAGACCUCGCGCUUCCGGAGCGGCCGAUGUCGGAUUAGCUAGUUGGCGGGGUAAAGGCCCACCAAGGCAACGAUCCGUAGCGGGUCUGAGAGGAUGAGCCGCAAAAUGGGGACUGAGACACGGCCAAGACUCCUACGGGAGGCAGCAGUGGGGAAUUUUGGACAAUGGGGGCAACCCUGAUCCAGCCAUGCCGCGUGAGUGAAGAAGGCCUUCGGGUUGUAAAGCUCUUUCGGCCGGGAAGAAAUCGCACAGGUUAAUACCUUGUGUGGAUGACGGUACCGGAAUAAGAAGCACCGGCUAACUACGUGCCAGCAGCCGCAGUAAAAC
rnacentral:rRNA from 1 species